CACGUAGGGGGCGAGCGUUGUUCGGAAUCAUUGGGCGUAAAGGGCGUGCAGGCGGUCCUGCAAGUCCGGCGUGAAAGACCCCGGCCCAACCGGGGGGACGCGCUGGAAACUGCAGGGCUUGAGUACAGGAGGGGAUGCCGGAAUUCCAGGUGUAGGGGUGAAAUCUGUAGAUAUCUGGAAGAACACCAAUGGCGAAGGCAGGCAUCUGGCCAUGUACUGACGCUGAGACGCGAAGGUGCGGGGAGCAAACAGG
rnacentral:rRNA from 1 species